GCAGUGGCAGUUCAGUGGCAGAAUUUUCCCCUUCCACGUGGGAGACUCUGGUUCAAUCCCUGACCAAUGUA
rnacentral:tRNA from 1 species